UAUGGCCUGGGUGGAUGUAGCAAUUCGUCUCUGGCCCAAUGAAUUUCACAGCGUGUGUAAUUGGGCUUCGUUCAGCGGCUGGUCAAAGCCGUGCUGAGAAUCCCCACUACCGAACGAUUUGAGCGGUCGCCCCACCUCUCCUUCUCUGUCCCAUCCGCUCUCCUCUCCAUUGCCGCCGACCCCGUUCUGCCCGCGGCGCCGAUGCCCGUGCUAGCCCAGAUGGUGCUCCCGUGCGUUUCCCUACGGAUUUAAGUGGGGUGGACGUGCGCCUGCUCGCUGGCUGAGCGGUCGGAUUGGAGGGGUGGAGAGCUCGGGCGGCGCUACGGGCUCUCUUCGUCAUUCACCGGCGGGCAUAUAGCGGUGCUCCAGAUUCCCUCUCCAUAGGACGGGGCUUGCUCCUCUCUCUGGUUGCCGUGGUGCCUACCGAGCCAAUUAUGACAUGGCACGCCCUGGCUUGCCGUUCUGAGGAGGAACUCGGCACCCUAAUCCCCUUCGCCGGCGGCUGGCGGCGCGGUGGAGCCGCUCGGCCCCCUCCUCUCCGUCCGCGGCAGUUGUGCACAUGCGUGCUAGAGGGCUUCAUCGGGCUGCACGACGGUGUCAGACGGCCGUGGUGGCCUCUGUCGUCUGUGGUGCUGACGGUGGUAGUGCUGGGCGAGCGCCAACGGCGGAAGGAUGCAUAGUUGGCCGGCGCGGCCGAGACCGACAUAUGACGACCAUGGGCGGACGGUGGAGUAUAGGCCGUGGGGAGCACGACGAGGGGUCGAGUCUACGCCGUGGAGGACCACGAUGACGACGACUAUAUCCACGCGACUCUUACUGCUGUGUAGUAUGCUUCAGUUGAAUAGAUCAAAACGAGGGGCUGGUCAUGCGUUUCAGAAGAACACGGAUCAAGAACAGGAUGCAGAUUGUGCUCCUGGAAAGCCACCUCAAUGAUCGAUGUACUGGAGGAAGCAUUGGGUUCUUAUCCUGCUCGAGAGACUCUCGAACGAGAGCCACUCAUCAAGGAAACUAUUUCAGCAAGCUCCUACAUUGCUAUCUUCACGUGGUGCUGCUGUGUUUACUCGCGCGUGCUGUGUGGCCGCUGCUCUCUCUUUUGUGUGUGUGUGCUGCAGCAUAUAGCUGCACAUGGUGCUCCCUCCCUCUAGCACAUGUGUUGUUGUUUUGUUCCUCUCUCACACAUAUGGCUGGUGUUGCUGUUCCUCUCUCUCUGAUCUAGAGAAAUUUGUGCAUGCAAAAUUGUUUGAUCAUGUCUAUGAAGCCUAAAAAGUUCAUUUGGGCCUUCUAUUGCAGUUUAUCAAUUGUGAUCUUGUGUAUGUUUUGCUUAGUUCUCGGAUUUAUAAAUGAUGUUUGUUCCUAUCUUUCUCCAUUUAGUAUGACACGAACUCUUAAAAAAAUAUUGGUCUUCUCAGUUGAUUAUUGCUAGGAAGGGUUUGAAGAAAAACAAUGGGCAUGUAAUGUUUAGGUCUUUUAAAGCGCAUGCUAUACUUUUGUGUUGUUCGAAAAAAAAAUGAUAAUUAGAAACCAUAGAUGAUUGACUUUACCUUCUAUUUAUUA